CACUUUAUAAGAGCCGUGCGUCCUGGACACUUGUUUGGCACAAGACCUCCCCGAGCAGGAAGGUGUAAGACAAUAAAAUAGCCAGUGACCCGGUGCUGCUCACAGCAUGAGAUUAAAAGAAGACGCUCUUUAAUAAAAGGAAUAUUUACAACACAGGUACAUGGGCCACACGUGGCCCUCAAACAGGCCGGGCGGGUCGGGGACGGUGUAGGUCCUCGUACUGCGAAGACAGGGUCCAACAGAUCAAAGGACUGGGCAAACCUGACGAGGAUAACGGCGGCGCGAGAUGACUACCUUCUCCUCCUCUUGCACUCCUCAUAAGGAAGCGAGAUGUAGAAGCAUUUGUCGUAAGCGUCGAUGAGGGGCCUGCGGGGAGAGUCAAGAACCACUUACUACUUCUGGAAGGUCAAGGCCUGAAGGAGACAUUUUGAGGGUCGACCCACUUGUAGUUGUAGAUGAGGAAGCCCUCCACAAUGAGGAUGUGGAUCCUCUCCUCCUUCGACGAGUCACAUUCCUCGGCUCCGGGUGACAGGCAAACUCCGUGGGAGCGGGCAAACUUGACCGGGUUCUCCUGCCAGCCUCUCACCGUGCUGACCAUGGCCUCCAUGUCCAGGGCAGUGAUGACUGGUAGGAAGUAAAGAAAAACGGGUUUGAGCGCACGUCAGCCAGUCAGUCAACAGGUGGGCUACUCCUUAAGUUUAGCAUUGCUUGGUUAUCAAAGAAUGUGCUGGAUAGGAAAAGUGCAAUUUGUUUUUCCUACGCCAAAUCCGUUCUUACCAUCCCACUGUCUAAAGCCGUCCUCCCCGACUUCUAUUUGAUCGGGCUUCUGAAAUAACAGUCACCAGUAAAACAUUGUUGCAAUCUAGUAACCAGUCGCAGCUGAUCACACCUGGACAGGGCAAGUCAACGACCCGUCUCCGACCCGAGAAGCCCGCGCUUUUUUUCACGGUUUAAACGUGCGGACGUAGCCUUUAAGGGAGAGAAGGUCAAUUCUAUUUCGAAUCAGACAGAAAACACAAGCAGAACGCUCUCUGCCGUUUCUAAGAAUCUACGGUAAAAAGUCCAAGAUCUUCUUUGCGACAGGAGUGAUUUGCUGAUUUUACAAACUUAUGCUGUUCAAACAAGAGCUUUGCCAUUUUUUUGGAGGACCUACAGCUAAUACAUAGUCAAAGGUCCUUUAAGUCAGUAGUCCCCGACCUUUUUUGCACCACGGCGAAUAAUUUUCAGGGACCGGCUUUCCACUUGUGCCAGAUAAAUACAGCAAAAAUGAGCACAUUAAAAAUACAACUCAUGUGAACGUUGAAUUAGUGGGAGCCCUAGGGUUGUGUUUUUGCAAUUGAGAUCUGUCAGAAUAAUUGUAUCUAAGUUAUCACUGUCUUCGUUUGAUCUUACCAAUCAAAAGGGUGGUAAAACUCCACUGUGUAGGACGGGGAGCGACAUGAGGGUGUCGGUUUCUUUGAUGUAUUGUAAUCCACAGAAAGAUUUUGUCUCGACCUGAGAUAUACAAAGCGGAGAGGAGGCAGGGCCUGACCCCUCUAUCAACUGUUUUGUGACGAGAGCAACGGCUGUUUACGACCUUUUCUUUGAAGCGACAUUUUCUUUGAACUGUUUUGUAAACUUGGAGAAGGCAUUCGACCGUGUCCCUCGGGAAGUCCUGUGGGGAGUGCUCAGAGAGUAUGGGGUAUCGGACUGUCUUAUUGUGGCGGUCCACUCCCUGUAUGAUCAGUGUCAGAGCUUGGUCCGCAUUGCCGGCAGUAAGUCGAACACAUUUCCAGUGAGGGUUGGACUCCGCCAAGGCUGUCCUUUGUCACCCAUUCUGUUCAUAACUUUUAUGGACAGAAUUUCUAGGCGCACUCAAGGCGUUGAGGGGUUCCAGUUUGGUGGCUGCAGGAUUAGGUCUCUGCUUUUUGCAGAUGAUGUGGUCCUGAUGGCUUCAUCUGACCGGGAUCUUCAGCUCUCGCUGGAUCGGUUUGCAGCCGAGUGUGAAGCGACUGGGAUGAGAAUCAGCACCUCCAAGUCCGAGUCCAUGGUUCUCGCCUGGAAAAGGGUGGAAUGCCAUCUCCGUGUUGGGGAGGAGACCCUGCCCCAAGUGGAGGAGUUCAAGUACCUAGGAGUCUUGUUCACGAGUGAGGGAAGAGUGGAUCGUGAGAUCGACAGGCGGAUCGGUGCGGCGUCUUCAGUAAUGCGGACGUUGUACCGAUCCGUUGUGGUGAAGAAGGAGCUGAGCCGAAAGGCAAAGCUCUCAAUUUACCGGUCAAUCUAUGUUCCCAUCCUCACCUAUGGUCAUGAGCUUUGAGUCAUGACCGAAAGGAUAAGAUCACGGGUACAAGCGGCCGAAAUGAGUUUCCUCCGCCGGGUGGCUGGGCUCUCCCUUAGCGAUAGGGUGAGAAGUUCUGCCACCCGGGAGGAACUCAAAGUAAAACCGCUGCUACUUCACAUCGAGAGGAGCCAGAUGAGGUGGUUCGGGCAUCUGGUCAGGAUGCCACCCGAACGCCUCCCUAGGGAGGUGUUUAGGGCACGUCCAACCGGUAGGAGGCCACGGGGAAGACCCAGGACACGUUGGGAAGACUAUGUCUCCCGGCUGGCCUGGGAACGCCUCGGGAACCCCCGGGAAGAGCUAGACGAAGUGGCUGGGGAGAGGGAAGUCUGGGUUUCCCUGCUUAGGCUGUUGCCCCCGCGACCCGACCUCGGAUAAGCGGAAGAUGAUGGCUGGAUGGAUGGAUGUUUUGUAAACAAAGGCAGUGGCUGUUUACGACCCCCUUCCUUGAGUAACAGCUGUUGCCAUGUAAUCAGGGAAAGUCCGAAUAAAAGAGGAGGCGUACAAUCUUUCGCCAGAGCGUGGUGGGACAUUGUACAAGAGUACAGCCCAGACGUUUCUCCUCAAUUGAGCCAAAUUGAAUUCUGUCUCUGUUUAAUUCCUUGCUUCUUUGUCUGUUUAAUGGAUGUCAUCAGUGUUUGAACCUGACAAC